ACAUGAACAUUGUGUGCCUUUUGCAUUUGUAAAAUUAUUUUGUGAUAUAAAACUAGUGAUUUUAUGUUUCUAGAACCGUACCGUAAUUGAGAAUCGAUUCGCAUUUAGAUGGGAGUAUUUGGCUGUAAGAGCCAAUUCGCCAUUUAAACACAUGUAUGGUCUGUCCACCUUGGACUAAAGCGUGAAGUUAGGCUCCUUUAGUUCAAUAUUGGGCUAAAGCUGGCUUGCUGUGAUAGUAACAUCAACGAUAGCUAGGAAACAUGGUGAACUUCGCUGCCCUGAUGCGUGACCAUUGCGUGAACAUAUGUGUCCCCCUUGGCUUUGUGAUCAGGAUCUACAUGGACAGCGCACAGGACCAGAAGCUGACUGCUUUCAGGAACAAAAGUGCAUUGUACAGCAGGGAGUUGAAGUAGACCCACCCAUCACCUGGAAUAUUUGUGUCCCAAGUCACAUCCCUAUUGUCUGGAUGGUUUUCAAAUCAAGUAUGCCAAUAAGAAGUGUCCCUCACUGUAUCUUUAUGGGUUGUAUCGACUAAUAAACAUGUCCCUUUGUCAG